rnacentral:rRNA from 1 species
AUCAACGCUGGCGGCGCGCUUAACACAUGCAAGUCGCACGAGAAAGCAGUAGCAAUACUGUGAGUAAAGUGGCGUACGGGUGAGUAACACGUGGAUCAUCUACCUUCUAGUGGGGAAUACCCCUGGGAAACUGGGGACAAUACCGCAUAAGCUCGUAAGAGGAAAGCAGCAAUGCGCUGGAAGAGGAGUCCGCGGCUGAUUAGCUUGUUGGCGGGGUAAUGGCCCACCAAGGCGAAGAUCGGUAGCCGGCCUGAGAGGGCACACGGCCACACUGGCACUGAAACACGGGCCAGACUCCUACGGGAGGCAGCAGUGGGGAAUCUUGCACAAUGGAGGAAACUCUGAUGCAGCGACGCCGCGUGAGCGAUGAAGCCCUUCGGGGUGUAAAGCUCUUUCGACGGGAACGAUAAUGACGGUACCCGAAGAAGAAGCUGCGGCUAACUACGU